CUACGGGUGGCUGCAGUUAGGAAUCUUUUGCAAUGCGCGCAAGCGUGACAAAUUGAGCCAGAGUGUGUUUCUAUUGAAAUGCUUUUGCUAAAUGUAAAAAGUUUAGCGAAUAAGGACUGGGUAAGACUAGUGCCAGCCGCCGCGGUAAUACUAGCGGUCCAAGUUGCAGCCAUUUUUAUUGGGUCUAAAACAUCCGUAGCUUGCUUGAUAAGUUUCCUGUGAAAUUUUAUGUCUCAAACAUAGAGCGUGCAGGAAGUACUGUCAAGCUAGAGACUGGGAGACGUAAGAAGUACGAUCAAAGUAGCGGUAAAAUGUGUUAAUCUUGAUUGGACUCACAAUAGCGAAGGCAUCUUACGAGAACAGUUCUGACAGUAAGGGAUGAAGGCUAGGGGCGCAAAACGGAUUAGAUACCCGAGUAGUC
rnacentral:rRNA from 1 species